rnacentral:misc_RNA from 1 species
GAUAAACGCUGGCGGCGCACAUAAGACAUGCAAGUCGAACGAACUUAAUCCAUUCUUUUAGAUUGGAAGCGGUUAGUGGCGGACUGGUGAGUAACGCGUGAGCAACCUGCCUAUUAGAGGGGAAUAACAGUGAGAAAUCAUUGCUAAUACCGCAUAUGCUCACAGCACCACAUGGUGCAGUGAGGAAAGGAGCAAUCCGCUAAUAGAUGGGCUCGCGUCUGAUUAGCUAGUUGGUGGGGUAACGGCCUACCAAGGCGACGAUCAGUAGCCGGACUGAGAGGUUGAACGGCCACAUUGGGACUGAGAUACGGCCCAGACUCCUACGGGAGGCAGCAGUCGGGAAUAUUGCGCAAUGGAGGAAACUCUGACGCAGUGACGCCGCGUAUGGGAAGAAGGUUUUCGGAUUGUAAACCAUUGUCGUUAGGGAAGAAGAAGUGACAGUACCUAAGGAGGAAGCUCCGGCUAACUAUGUGCCAGCAGCCGCGGUAAUACAUAGGGAGCAAGCGUUAUCCGGAUUUAUUGGGUGUAAAGGGUGCGUAGACGGGAAUUUAAGUUGGUUGUGAAAUCCCUCGGCUCAACUGAGGAACUGCAACCAAAACUGGAUUUCUUGAGUACUGGAGAGGAAAGUGGAAUUCCUAGUGUAGCGGUGAAAUGCGUAGAUAUUAGGAGGAACACCAGUGGCGAAGGCGACUUUCUGGACAGUAACUGACGUUGAGGCACGAAAGUGUGGGGAGCAAACAGGAUUAGAUACCCUGGUAGUCCACACCGUAAACGAUGGAUACUAGGUGUAGGGUUUAAUAAAGACUCUGUGCCGUCGCAAACGCAAUAAGUAUCCCACCUGGGGAGUACGACCGCAAGGUUGAAACUCAAAGGAAUUGACGGGGGCCCGCACAAGCAGUGGAGUAUGUGGUUUAAUUCGAAGCAACGCGAAGAACCUUACCAGGGCUUGACAUAUACAUGACAGCUCAAGAGAUUGAGUCUCUCUUCGGAGCAUGUAUACAGGUGGUGCAUGGUUGUCGUCAGCUCGUGUCGUGAGAUGUUGGGUUAAGUCCCGCAACGAGCGCAACCCCUAUUUCUAGUUGCCAGCACGUAAUGGUGGGAACUCUAGAGAGACUGCCGGUGAUAAAUCGGAGGAAGGUGGGGAUGACGUCAAAUCAUCAUGCCCUUUAUGUCCUGGGCUACACACGUACUACAAUGGUCGUAACAGAGGGAAGCGAAAUAGUGAUAUGGAGCAAAACCCCAAAAGCGGUCUCAGUUCGGAUUGAAGGCUGAAAUUCGCCUUCAUGAAGCCGGAAUUGCUAGUAAUGGCAGGUCAGCAUACUGCCGUGAAUACGUUCCCGGGCCUUGUACACACCGCCCGUCACACCAUGAGAGUUGGGAAUACCCGAAGCCUGUGAGCUAACCGUAAGGGAGCAGCAGUCGAAGGUAGAAUCAAUGAUUGGGGUGAAGUCGUAACAAGGUAGCCGUAUCGGAAGGUGCGGCUGGAUCACCUCCUUUCUAAGGAGAAAGAAAUACUUGAAGAGAAUUUAUUGUUUAUUUUUUAAUGUACUUUCUUAGUACAUUCAUAUUUAUAAAGAGUGAAGCUCAUACAAAAGAAUUGAAACAGAAAAACUCUAAUAUGGGCUCAUAGCUCAGAUGGUUAGAGCGCACGCCUGAUAAGCGUGAGGUCGAUGGUUCGAUUCCAUUUGAGCCCACCACUAGAUGAAAAGAUCUAGAAAAGCACAUUGAAAAAUAUAUAGAUAAUGCGAAAAAAUUGAUAGGUAAAACUAGCAUACUAGAAAUAGUAUGUAACAAUUAAACCGAGAAAAAGAGAACAGAAAUGUUUGAAAACCGAAAAGGUUAAGCUACAAAGAGCGUAGGGUGAAUGCCUAGGCACCAAGAGCCGAAGAAGGACGUGAUAAGCUGCGAAAAGCCAUGGGGAGAAGCAAAUAUUCAUUAAUCCAUGGAUAUCCGAAUGGGGAAACCCGACUAGUAGAAAUUGACUAGUCAUCCGUACAUGAGUAAAGUAGUGUGCGUGAAGGGAACGCAGGGAACUGAAACAUCUUAGUACCUGCAGGAAAAGAAAGAAAAAUCGAUUCUGUGAGUAGUGGCGAGCGAAAGCGGAAGAGCCUAAACCUAAGGUAGUAAUACUUUAGGGGUUUGGACUGCAUAAUUGAUUUAGUGAGAAUAAUAGAAUUAUUUGGAAAAGUAAACCAUAGAUAGUGAAAGUCUAGUAUAUGAAAUUCAAGCUAACAAGGCAGUAUCCAGAGUAGUGCAAGACACGUGGAAUCUUGUAUGAAUAAGCGAGGACCAUCUCGUAAGGCUAAAUACUACUUGGUGACCGAUAGUGGAGC